ACGGAAGGCAGCAGUGGGGAAUAUUGCACAAUGGGGGAAACCCUGAUGCAGCGACGCCGCGUGAAGGAAGAAGUAUCUCGGUAUGUAAACUUCUAUCAGCAGGGAAGAUAGUGACGGUACCUGACUAAGAAGCCCCGGCUAACUACGUGCCAGCAGCCGCGGUAAUACGUAGGGGGCAAGCGUUAUCCGGAUUUACUGGGUGUAAAGGGAGCGUAGACGGUGUGGCAAGUCUGAUGUGAAAGGCAUGGGCUCAACCUGUGGACUGCAUUGGAAACUGCCAUACUUGAGUGCCGGAGGGGUAAGCGGAAUUCCUAGUGUAGCGGUGAAAUGCGUAGAUAUUAGGAGGAACACCAGUGGCGAAGGCGGCUUACUGGACGGUAACUGACGUUGAGGCUCGAAAGCGUGGGGAGCAACCAGGAUUAGAUACCCUGGUA
rnacentral:rRNA from 1 species